CGUAGGUGGCGAGCGUUGUCCGGAAUUACUGGGUGUAAAGGGCGUGUAGGCGGGAAUGUAAGUCAGAUGUGAAAUACCGAAGCUUAACUUCGGGGCUGCAUCUGAAACUAUGUUUCUUGAGUGUCGGAGAGGAAAGCGGAAUUCCCAGUGUAGCGGUGAAAUGCGUAGAUAUUGGGAGGAACACCAGUGGCGAAGGCGGCUUUCUGGACGAUAACUGACGCUGAGGCGCGAAAGCGUGGGGAGCAAACAGGAUUAGAUACCCUGGUAGUCCACGCUGUAAACGAUGGAUACUAGGUGUAGGAGGUAUCGACCCCUUCUGUGCCGCAGUUAACACAAUAAGUAUCCCACCGUGGGGAGUACGGCCGCAAGGUUG
rnacentral:rRNA from 1 species